UACAGAGGUCCCAAGCGUUGUUCGGAUUCACUGGGCGUAAAGGGUGCGUAGGUGGUAAGGCAAGUCAGGUGUGAAAUCUCCGGGCUCAACCCGGAAAUGGCAUUCGAAACUACCUUGCUAGAGGGUUUGAGGGGGGACUGGAAUACUUGGUGUAGCAGUGAAAUGCGUAGAUAUCAAGUGGAGCACCAGUGGCGAAGGCGAGUCCCUGGAAAACUCCUGACACUGAGGCACGAAAGCUAGGGGAGCAAACAGG
rnacentral:rRNA from 1 species